AACCUACGGCAAUAGAUCCCAUUACUGUUACAUUACGCAAAAGAAAAUGAAUAAGCAGCAACUCGGCACAGUAUCAAUAUAAUUGUUCAUAGAUUUCACCACAUUCUCUUGUGUUCCUUAAACCUUCGUGCAUCGUUCACGUACCGAGCGGCUUCGAGAUAGUAAGGCGAAGCACUGUGACUCCCGCCAGCCUCAGCAUCCUGUGUUAUUGUGCGUUGCUCGCGUGUGUUGGAUUCUGUGAUGGAGAACUUACUAGUGGUCAAGGGAUACAAGACUGCUGAUUGCUUAAGCCCUACCCGAAGCCUGCCCCAACAUCCCAGCAGUGGUGGGUGUGGCGGUGGUGGUGGUGGUGGAGGCCUCCUGCGGCGCGGCGUCCGGCAGGAGUUGGGACAAGGUGUCAUAGUUUCUUGGCGGCAGGCAAAUGGGCGCCACGUAGCCUGGAGGGAAGGAGGAAGAGGAAGAGGAGGAGGUGGUGGAGUUGAGUGAAGGCGCAGAAAGUGGUGAUGGUGGUGAUGUACGAGGUGACUCUCCUACGUCCCACCUUACCAUCCACGGGAACUGGUGCUUCGCCACUACUUUGCCGCCCACCACCCUGGUUGCUCCGGGCUCGCCAGCCACCCCACACUUCCCGGACCAGCCGUCACUGUUAGAGAAAACGGAGGAGUAAGGUGAAGCCGCGGUACCUGUACGAGCUGUCAGCGACGAAGAGCAGCGUCAUGUUGGACGUGGAGGUGAAGAGGGAGAGUGCCUUGUCCCCGCAAUACCUUGGCGGUGGGAGGGAAAGUGAGAAGUUGCUGGAUGACUGAUUGAAAAUAAGGAAAAUAUACAGUACUAUACGGCGCCGCACGUUGCAAAUACUAAACGACGAAAAAUGUCUAUCUGAUCAUUUAGUUAAGGAAUUUACAGGUUAACAAACUAAUCCUUCACUUUGAUGAGAAGCUGCUUUUGUUAUUAAUCUUCAACUGAUCGAUGAAGGAGGAAGACGACGAAAAUAACGAGGAGAAUGAGGGUAAGAACCAGUAAGUAGUAAAAAACGGAGAAGAUAAACGAGAAAAAUUAAUAAGACAUCAACUCCUCACCUUGUCACGCCCUCUCCGUCCAACUGGCCAUCCUCGGUGAUUAGCAAGUAGUCAUUCUCGCAGUUCCUGUCGCCUGGUUGGAUGGAGAAGUCGUUACAGUCGAGAGCGAUGGUGUACUCAGACGGCAGCUGCGGAUGGAGAGAGAGAAACGAAAAAGGAAAGUUAGACUGAGUGAUUGGGGGUAGUUCAGGACUGGUAGGAAUAAGAAGAAAACUAAAGAAAUGAGAUACAAAACGAAUAAAUAGUUGAGAUAAUGAAAAGAUGGAGAAAAAAAGUGUAACAGCGUUCAAUGGUAAGAGUGUAAGGUUGCUAGGGAUGACGAUAAGAACGAAAUGGGAAAGGAAGAUAAUACGAGAGAUAAGAAAGUAAGGAAAAAGGAAUGAACACUUGAGAUAGAUGGAAGAGAAUGAGUUUAAUAUUGCUGUGAAGAAAGGAAGGGACGAAAAUGGAAAAUGGAUGAUGAAAACAAAAAUUAUUAAAAGAUGUACUAAACGAAUUCAUAGUUAAGGUCGAGGAACGGAGAUGUAAAGGUUUGGCAGCGUAAAUGGGAAGAAUUUAAAGUUCCUGAGCAUAAAAUGAAGAA